UUACUGAAAUUGAAAGUUACUGAAAUGUUGGAUAUCAAAUAUUGUUCCAUGUGACUUAUGUGCAAUCUUCAUAUCAAAUUAUAGAGUAUGUGUUGUCAUCAUUAUCUUCAUUUGACAGAUAAGGCAUCUGAAAUACAGGGGACUAAAGUAACAUAUUCAGAUUACUGCAGAAGAUAAAAGGAGACACAUGUUUCUUAAUGUGGAUCUAAGUUGAAUUUCACAGAUGUUUAUUUUAACUGACUGGGUCAUAGUCUUGCCUAAGUACCUGUACUUGUCCUUAAAAAGAAUUACAAGUGUUUUCUGAAUAAUCUUAAUAGUUUACAUUAACUACUUGAAAUAGUCCAAAGCCUCAACAACAAUCAAUAAUCUAAGAAUGAAUACAUCUUACAUGUUGCUAAAGACACUUUCCCAGUACAGCAUUUAGAAAUACACUGGACUUUAUGAUGCUCAAAGAAGAGAAAAGCUAGAUAAGGUCAAAGGAAGACAGAUUGUACAGGCAUUCAAAUAUAGGAAUAAAUGGAAGCAUAUUUUUAAUAAAAAAAAUGCACAGUAGACUAGAACUAGAAGGGGACAUUGAAACCAACAAGAAAGACCUACACAUUCCACAUAAAGAAACAUGGGUAAUGGAAUCUGCCUAUGUCAUUCAGCUGAUUAAAACUGUUUUAAGUAUUUUAGAGAGAUAAACUUUAAAUAGAAGGACAAUUUAAUUUUGAUAAUGCAAAAAUUGCUAUUACCUGUCUAUACUUCCAAGGUUUUAUAUCCUUCAAUUUUCUUGAUUUGAUCAAAUGACUUUCUAGAGUUCCAUAAGUAAACUUUAGACUAUUGCACUCUUCCUAAAUGACUUCAUUUGUCAGUGUUGAGUAUGGAACCCAGGGACUUAUGCACACUGGGCAAGCAUUCCAAUACUAAGCUACAGCUACAGCUAUAGCCCCUGGUUUUGUAACAAGGUUCUUGCUAUGUAACCCACACUGUCCUCAACCUCACAAUCCCACUGCCGCUGCUUCCAAAGUGCUGGAAUUAUAGGUGUGCAAUGACAUACUUGGCUCUGAAUGACUUCUAAUUCCUUAGUUUUAAAAGUGAGGUGAAGUGGGAAGGAAGAAAUUAUAGUAAAGUAUUUCUUUUACAGAGCAUCAUUGUUUCCAAUCCUCUAAAUUUAACUA